AAUGUGAUACACGAUAGACAGAAUCAGCGUUUCACAGUAACUCUUGACUGUGGCGGAACAGUGAGUAGUGCAGUACUGAAAUACACUUCUCAGUCAUGAUCAGCAGGUGGAGUUGAUCUCUACAGAGGGUCCUGAAUCACACAGGGGUAAAGGUGCAGCAGCACAUUUGGCAAAGGCUGCUUUGGAUUUUGUUGUCGAAGAAAAUUUGACAGCGAGGAUAUCCUGUUGGUACAUUAGAAAAUAUGUAGAUGAAAAUCCACAUCUUGGAUACCAGGCUUAUAUUGAAGACAAAUAAAGGCAGAAUUAAACAACGUCUUAACGGAAGAUUUUACAUAGGCUACGUCUUACCUCCUUUACCUGACUCCUUGCAGUCUUAUGCAGAGGCGUAUUAUAUAGGCGCACGUGCCCUCUCAGAUUUUUGAGCCAAGUGGAUUUUGAAUGCAGCUUCCAAAAGACAAAAAA